AACCGACACAGGUGGUCAGGUAGAGAAUACCAAGGCGCUUGAGAGAACUCGGGUGAAGGAACUAGGCAAAAUGGUGCCGUAACUUCGGGAGAAGGCACGCUGAUAUGUAGGUGAAGCGACUUGCUCGUGGAGCUGAAAUCAGUCGAAGAUACCAGCUGGCUGCAACUGUUUAUUAAAAACACAGCACUGUGCAAACACGAAAGUGGACGUAUACGGUGUGACGCCUGCCCGGUGCCGGAAGGUUAAUUGAUGGGGUUAGCGGCAACGCGAAGCUCUUGAUCGAAGCCCCGGUAAACGGCGGCCGUAACUAUAACGGUCCUAAGGUAGCGAAAUUCCUUGUCGGGUAAGUUCCGACCUGCACGAAUGGCGUAAUGAUGGCCAGGCUGUCUCCACCCGAGACUCAGUGAAAUUGAACUCGCUGUGAAGAUGCAGUGUACCCGCGGCAAGACGGAAAGACCCCGUGAACCUUUACUAUAGCUUGACACUGAACAUUGAGCCUUGAUGUGUAGGAUAGGUGGGAGGCUUUGAAGUGUGGACGCCAGUCUGCAUGGAGCCGACCUUGAAAUACCACCCUUUAAUGUUUGAUGUUCUAACGUUGGCCCGUAAUCCGGGUUGCGGACAGUGUCUGGUGGGUAGUUUGACUGGGGCGGUCUCCUCCUAAAGAGUAACGGAGGAGCACGAAGGUUGGCUAAUCCUGGUCGGACAUCAGGAGGUUAGUGCAAUGGCAUAAGCCAGCUUGACUGCGAGCGUGACGGCGCGAGCAGGUGCGAAAGCAGGUCAUAGUGAUCCGGUGGUUCUGAAUGGAAGGGCCAUCGCUCAACGGAUAAAAGGUACUCCGGGGAUAACAGGCUGAUACCGCCCAAGAGUUCAUAUCGACGGCGGUGUUUGGCACCUCGAUGUCGGCUCAUCACAUCCUGGGGCUGAAGUAGGUCCCAAGGGUAUGGCUGUUCGCCAUUUAAAGUGGUACGCGAGCUGGGUUUAGAACGUCGUGAGACAGUUCGGUCCCUAUCUGCCGUGGGCGCUGGAGAACUGAGGGGGGCUGCUCCUAGUACGAGAGGACCGGAGUGGACGCAUCACUGGUGUUCGGGUUGUCAUGCCAAUGGCACUGCCCGGUAGCUAAAUGCGGAAGAGAUAAGUGCUGAAAGCAUCUAAGCACGAAACUUGCCCCGAGAUGAGUUCUCCCUGACUCCUUGAGAGUCCUGAAGGAACGUUGAAGACGACGACGUUGAUAGGCCGGGUGUGUAAGCGCAGCGAUGCGUUGAGCUAACCGGUACUAAUGAACCGUGAGGCUUAACCUU
rnacentral:rRNA from 1 species